rnacentral:lncRNA from 1 species
ACGGUUUUAUUUCAUCACCGAACACGCGAGUGAGUGAGCGAGGCGAGGUGAGGCAGGGCUGGGAGGGACAGGCCGUCAUGACAGAACAGGCCAGGGCAGGUGAAGGUAAGGUAAGGUAAGGCAGGGCAGGGACUUAGGUCAGCGGGUGAUUGGUGGGUUGGGGUCAGGGUUCAAAUCUCCCAAACUCAGAGGGAAACGAGGCACCAAAAGUAAUCGAGUGUUUUCAUUACAUUAAGUGAAUAGGAGGUGAAUUUUAACCUUUCGCCGCUCAAAGGACACAGUUCAAUACCAUAAAGGGAAGAGGGAGUAAGCGCGGCGAGGAGGCGGCAGCGCAGGGCGAGGCGAGGCCCAUCGGCGUGCCAACAGGCGAGGAAGGCGGCGAGGGUGACGAGGUAUUACACAGGACAUCACUGAAUGAACGAAGAUAACGCAGGGGAGGGGAGAGGGAGGGGUGGCGUCGGCAUGAGAGGCAGCCACGGACACACUCAGUCUGACUCUAACCUCGGUGGGGUGGGCAGUGACUCCGCGCUCUUCCUCUUCGCCCUCACUGCCUCUCGUGCUAUCUUACCGCCUCACCCUGUGCCAGGCCCCCGUGGGUGCCGCUCCCCCGCACAUCCGCCAGCGAGGAAUCGAGGAAGAUAAGCGAACGAAAACCGCGAGAAGUCAAUAAGUGAGUAAAAAAAAAAAAAAAAAACUUCGCGGUGAAAAGUGGAGGAAAACUGGAAGAGGUGAAAAAAAUGAGUGCUUCCGUGCAAAUCAAGAGUAACCCGACUCAUGUUUGUGGUUAAGGAUGAAGGGAGACGCGUAACACCAGCAGCAGCAGCAGCAGCGUGGUGGUGUGGCGGCGUGUGGCGUGUGGUGCAGUGUGGUGGUGCAAGUGGCAGUGUGGCGUGACCCAGUGAGACCUCCCAGCUAACUCUACACUCCGUUGUUCAGUGUUUCAAUCCAGUGUCUUCCUUUAACAGUGAACCAAGGGACAAGUAAAGCUUAGUGCACCUGUGUAGCCGCGUGUGUGCCGUGACAAACCCUCACGUUCUUAGUGUGCGCGUAGAGAGCAAGUGAAUUAAGACAGCGUGCGGGAACCAGACUCCGCGACAACCAGGGACUCGGAGCUUCAUCGCAGGACGUGUGAAGCACUCCGGAGCAUCAACUCACCGCAGGACCUCUUGGCCAGCCAGCCAGCCAGCCAGCAAGAUGUCGUCCUUCCUGAGUCGUCUUCGUAAAGGUAUGUUUGCUGUCACCAGUGCCUUGUGUCUCCUGCAACGUGGCGUAACAACAUACAAGUGACGUGAGUGUUUGUAAAUAACGUGAUUACUGAGUCUAUUCUAUUUACCUACAGUAGUGUUUGAUAGCAUAUUUCUUCUGUUUUCUCUCUUUUUAAUCUAACACAGAGAUGGUAGGACAGUAUUAAAAGAACGAACUCCUCCUCCCUCAUUUUUCAAAUCUAUUUUGCUUAAGCGACGAAAAAACGAAGUUUGUAGAGAUGUGAGUGAAAUUGAAAGUGAGAAUAGGAGAGGAGAGCCACAUGGAGGAUAGGAGGGUAGAAUACAGGAGCACUGUAUGUAUAUGAAAGCCAAUUUCUGCAUCUUUUCUAAAUCUAACACUGGAAUGAUACGACAAUGGUGAAAUGAAGAAAAAAGAACGAAGAGUUUCUAAGGAAGCAGUAUGUGAAUGGAGAUGCGCAUACAAAUACGAAAGAAAAGCCACUUGUGAGAUAGGAAGCAGAUAGCGAGAUAGAUAAUAACAGGAACAUAGCAAGAUAGUAAAAGAUAGUGUUGAAUUUUCUCCUUUACGUGAUAAUAACGAAAUGCUUGGCUUUCAAGAACGAGGCGCAGAAGUGACUUAAGAUGAGGGUGCUAACACGGGGAAAAAAAAUGGUGAUUGGGGAACAGGUGUACAACUAAAUACAAUAAAGUUGAAGGUACCACAAGGAAAAAAAAUGGUGAUUGGGGAACAGGUGCAUAGAGUUGAAGGUAGUACGAGGAAAAAAAUGGUGAUAAAACAUGUGAAGAGAUAAAGGAAAAGAGGUUAUCGAUAUAGAAAAUAACAAACAAACAGAAAUUCCUUACUAAUAGUACAGCACAUGAUAGUGAUAAGAUGUGGAUAUGACUAAGAC